rnacentral:rRNA from 1 species
ACGUAGGGGGCGAGCGUUGUCCGGAAUCACUGGGCGUAAAGCGCACGCAGGCGGGCUGGCACGUCGGCCGUGAAAGACUCGGGCUCAACCUGAGCAAGUCGUUUGAUACUGGCGGUCUUGAGUAUGGGAGAGGGUGAUAGAAUUCCCGGUGUAGCGGUGAAAUGCGUAGAUAUCAGGAGGAACACCAGUGGCGAAGGCGGUUAUCUGGCUCGUAACUGACGCUGAGGUGCGAAAGUGUGGGGAGCGAACGG